rnacentral:lncRNA from 1 species
AUGUGGACACAUAAACGGUUGCCUAUGUGUAGGUGUCUGUUUGCAUGUCAGGCUGCUGCCAUGACACAAGGGUGGAUAUCUACUGUGGCCUCACUGCCACUGCGGGCAAGUAGCUGUUCCUUGUGCACUUCUCAGUGUCACCAACAGAGCUGUAUCUAUUGUCCUUUCAUCACACUUAACAACAGAGAUGUAUUCAAGUUACUUUGUUUGGCAGGAAAUGAGCUCACUUUUCCCUCUGCUGAAGAAAGCAAUUUGUGAAUCAUAUCCAGUUUGAGAAAAGAAUCACCUUAUUUCAAAAGAUAAAUCAUGUGAUAUUGUUAUGCUGAAUGAAUAAAAAGCAUGGAUUGAGAAUAGAUUAGAUGAAU